UACAGAGGUCUCAAGCGUUGUUCGGAUUCAUUGGGCGUAAAGGGUGCGUAGGCGGCGCGGUAAGUCGGGUGUGAAAUCUCGGGGCUUAACUCCGAAACUGCAUUCGAUACUGCCGUGCUUGAGGACUGGAGAGGAGACUGGAAUUUACGGUGUAGCAGUGAAAUGCGUAGAGAUGUGGAGGAAUACCGAUGGCGAAGGCAGCCCCCUGGGCCAAUACUGACGCUCAUGCACGAAAGCGUGGGGAGCAAACAGG
rnacentral:rRNA from 1 species